AUUAGUAACGUUCGUUCACCUGUCUACGUUGCUUGAAGACAUGUCUCAGAAAUACAGUGACUGACAAACGACAACAUCUAUCACCAUAUUCGGUAAAUGCCGAGGACGUGUUGAAAGAGUUAAGGGCUCAGGCAGUCGCAGAAUGAACUUCAAAUAGGCCUCGGUGUAGCCGGAAGCGUUGGCCAAGGAGCAGGACGUGGCUAAGCAGAGGCAGUCCUCAUUAAAUUGAUGAGCUGAGAUCUGGUCCCUACUUCACCAUCUGGAAUUGUAGUCUGGGGUUCUGCUGAAAGCUGCUGACCCAGGAUUCAACUCUUCAACUCAGGGAAGAGGAGAGCGAGGAAAAGAAAAAGUCUGUCAUGUCAGCAGAAGUCACUGUGUCAAAGUCCUUUAUCUUGUCAUCAAGCUGAAGAGCUUUGGAAUAACGACUUGGAUUAAACUAUCUCUUUGGCAGCACCAGGAGGCAGAGAUCCAAAGAAAAGGGUAGAUGGAAGUUACCAAUCUAGUCCCUGUAUGUACUCAUCAUUUCUAAUGAUCAUUUGUGUUGUGUUUUUACUUUGUUCCUGGACUGUUAAGGGAUAGUUCACCCAAAGCAUGAAAAAUGUUCCAAACAUGUACGACUUACAUCCAUGAAGCACAGAAGAAAAUAUUUUGAAAACAUUAGACCCCAUUACAUUUCCUUUGUAUAAACAAAAAAAUAAAUUCAAAUAUGUUCCAUAUUAAAAGAAAACAUAUCCACCUUA